GCAUAUCAAUAGCGGAGGAAAAGAAACCAACAGGGAUUGCCUCAGUAACGGCGAGUGAAGCGGCAACAGCUCAAAUUUGAAAUCUGGCUCCUUCGGGGUCCGAGUUGUAAUUUGUAGAAGAUGCUUUGGGUGUGGCCCUGGUCUAAGUUCCUUGGAACAGGACGUCAUAGAGGGUGAGAAUCCCGUAUGUGACUGGGUGCCCACGCCCGUGUAAAGCUCUUUCGACGAGUCGAGUUGUUUGGGAAUGCAGCUCAAAAUGGGUGGUAAAUUUCAUCUAAAGCUAAAUAUUGGCCAGAGACCGAUAGCGCACAAGUAGAGUGAUCGAAAGAUGAAAAGCACUUUGGAAAGAGAGUUAAACAGUACGUGAAAUUGUUGAAAGGGAAGCGCUUGCAAUCAGACUUGCGCGCCGCUGAUCAUCCCGGGUUCUCCCAGGUGCACUCGGCGGCGCUCAGGCCAGCAUCGGUUCGGGUGGUGGGAUAAAGGCCUUGGGAAUGUAGCUCCUCUCGGGGAGUGUUAUAGCCCUCGGUGCCAUGCCGCCUACCUGGACCGAGGACCGCGCUUCGGCUAGGAUGCUGGCGUAAUGGUUGUAAGCGACCCGUCUUGAAACACGGACCAAGGAGUCUAACAUCUAUGCGAGUGUUUGGGUGCUAAACCCAUACGCGUAAUGAAAGUGAACGUUGGUAAGAACCCUUUAGGGUGCAUUAUCGACCGAUCCUGAUGUCUUCGGACGGAUUUGAGUAUGAGCAUAGCUGUUGGGACCCGAAAGAUGGUGAACUAUGCCUGAAUAGGGUGAAGCCAGAGGAAACUCUGGUGGAGGCUCGCAGCGGUUCUGACGUGCAAAUCGAUCGUCAAAUUUGGGUAUAGGGGCGAAAGACUAAUCGAACCAUCUAGUAGCUGGUUCCUGCCGAAGUU
rnacentral:rRNA from 1 species